GCCUUCGUGGUGUAGUGGUCAGCACUCUAGGCGCGUAUUCCAGAGGUCCGUGGUUCGAGUCCCAGGCGAAGGCG
rfam:Stegodyphus mimosarum contig104303, whole genome shotgun sequence.